rnacentral:rRNA from 1 species
AUUGAACGCUGGCGGCAUGCUUUACACAUGCAAGUCGAACGGUAACAGGGAGCUUGCUCCGCUGACGAGUGGCGAACGGGUGAGUAAUGCAUCGGAACGUACCCAGUCGUGGGGGAUAACGUAGCGAAAGUUACGCUAAUACCGCAUACGUCCUGAGGGAGAAAGCGGGGGACCGAAAGGCCUCGCGCGAUUGGAGCGGCCGAUGUCGGAUUAGCUAGUUGGUAGGGUAAAGGCCUACCAAGGCGACGAUCCGUAGCGGGUCUGAGAGGAUGAUCCGCCACACUGGGACUGAGACACGGCCCAGACUCCUACGGGAGGCAGCAGUGGGGAAUUUUGGACAAUGGGCGCAAGCCUGAUCCAGCCAUGCCGCGUGAGUGAAGAAGGCC